GUGAAGAAACAAAAUUCUUGUAUCAAUAUAUUACAUAUGCUAGAAAUUGGAAUUUUGGGUGGUGAAGGGGCCAAGCUGCAUCUUAGAGAAGGGGAUUAGCUCCCCUUAAAUGUUUGCACUUCCCUCAUUUAAUCCUUGAAAAUUUCCACAAUUUUCAUAUAGUUCCAAACAAAGCUGCAUUGGGUGCCCCUCAUUAUUUUAAGUUUAAAAGAAAGUUCAUUAAAUGCUAUCAAAUAUAUUUAUUUUGUACUUUUAAUACAAGUUUAAUAUGUUAUUGAUAGUUGUUUUGUUUCUUAUUUGCAAAUCACACAACAAUAUGGAUAAUAAUUAACAUACAUCAUUGCAUUCACCUAAUUUUCAUUCUUUGCUUGACUCUUUUGAUGCUAUGUUUUUCCAAAAAAAUUAUUAUGUGAUCAUCUAUAAAUAUGUAUGUAUAUAUGCACAUAGAUAUUUAUAAAUAGCCCAUGGAUAAUAUGUAUAGAGUGCCAUACUCAUUUAUUCUCAUUCACUAGAAAAUCUAACUACCUGUAACAAAAAAAAUUACCUUUGCCACUAGUGGUGAUGGGCACUUUACUGACAUGUUCUUUAUUUAGUUUAUUUUACCAAAUGACAGCUGUAAAUAUGAUUUCAUUGUUAAAUAAAAUUUCUCUUGCUUGAGGAAAAAAUAGAAAAAAGAUCUGCGCUGCUUGUUUGUUUCUUGGUUAUUCCUAUUGGCAUGCUGCUGCCUCUCGUUCUGAUCUUCUGAUGUGUUGAGGAGGAUUGCGAAAUCAUAGUGUAAGGUAGUAAAUUUGUUUACUCAACAUGUUUUAGAUGUUGAAAUGAAAUAUUAAAUGGUAGUUCGACAUUAUGAAUGAACGUGCAAUGGCAAGGCAUCUUUGAGGUGAGAAUUAGUUACAGUGUUUUGAUUACAGAACUGCUCUCAAUAUUUCCUUUGGUGGAAUCUUUAUGAUGUUAUAUCAGCAUAUUGAUAUGCUGAUCAGUGGAGCUCAGGAAGAGAUACUGUAAAGGAAGUGCAACUAAAAUGAAAAUCAGCCUUACAAAACAGAAAGGUUCUAGGUUCUAGGUUCUAAAUGUUCAGAUAAAAUGGACAAAAUGAAGAGUGAAUCUUUGAGGUGAGAAUUAGUUACAGUGUUUUGAUUACAGAACUGCUCUCAAUAUUUCCUUUGGUGGAAUCUUUAUGAUGUUAUAUCAGCAUAUUGAUAUGCUGAUCAGUGGAGCUCAGGGAGAGAUACUGUAAAGGAAGUGCAACUAAAAUGAAAAUCAGCCUUACAAAACAGAAAGGUUCUAGGUUCUAAAUGCUCAGAUAAAAUGGACAAAAUGAAGAGUGAAUUCAGAUGCUAACAUGGAACGAUUAUCCUAGGAGUUUACAGACCAGAUUGACAGGGCCAAGUUUGAAAAGAAGUCCGCAAAGAAACUUGGAAGCAUCUCAUAUGAAGCAUGAAGUUACUUUUUUCUUGUUUUAAUUAUUUUCUUAGUUAAUUUUAGAUCAUAAUUAUUUGUUUCCUACUUAACUCGAGACUUUUAAUUUAAUUAGCAUUUUACUAUUUAGGAAUCCUAAUGCUAGAUGAAUUCUAUUAAUUAUGCAAGUUUUAAUUAGGAA